rnacentral:rRNA from 1 species
CCGUAACUAUAACGGUCCUAAGGUAGCGAAAUUCCUUGUCGGGUAAGUUCCGACCCGCACGAAAGGCGUAAUGAUUUGGGCACUGUCUCAACAAUGCACCCGGUGAAAUUGAAAUACCAGUGAAGAUGCUGGUUACCUGCGCCAGGACGGAAAGACCCCAUGGAGCUUUACUCCAGCUUGAUACUGGGAUUCGGUAUUGCAUGUACAGGAUAGGUGGGAGGCUAGGAGAUGGUAACGCCAGUUGCCAUGGAGCCGCUGUUGGGAUACCACCCUUGCAGUAUUGGGUUUCUAACCAGCCGCCGUGACCCGGCGGUGGGACAAUGCCAGACGGGGAGUUUGACUGGGGCGGUCGCCUCCGAAAGGGUAUCGGAGGCGCUCAAAGGUUCCCUCAGAAUGGUUGGAAACCAUUCGAAGAGUGCAAAGGCAGAAGGGAGCUUGACUGCGACACCGACGGGUGGAGCAGGUACGAAAGUAGGACUUAGUGAUCCGGUGGUAUAAAGUGGGAUUGCCAUCGCUCAACGGAUAAAAGCUACCCUGGGGAUAACAGGCUUAUCACUCCCAAGAGUUCACAUCGACGGAGUGGUUUGGCACCUCGAUGUCGGCUCAUCGCAUCCUGGGGCUGUAGUAGGUCCCAAGGGUUGGGCUGUUCGCCCAUUAAAGCGGUACGCGAGCUGGGUUCAGAACGUCGUGAGACAGUUCGGUCCCUAUCCUCCGUGGGCGCAGGAGAAUCGAUGGAGGCUGCCCCCAGUACGAGAGGACCGGGGUGGACGCACCUCCGGUGAACCGGUUGUCGACCAACGGCACGGCCGGGUAGCCGCGUGCGGCGCGGAUAACCGCUGAAGGCAUCUAAGCGGGAAGCCGUUCCAGGGAUUAGUUCUCCUUCCGGUAAGGGCCCAGGUAGACUACCUGGUCGAUAGACGGCAGGUGCAAGGACGGCGACGUCCUCAGCCGAGCCGCACUAAUCGCCCGAGCUCUUCCGGAA